rnacentral:rRNA from 1 species
GACAGAGGGUGCAAACGUUGCUCGGAAUCACUGGGCGUAAAGGGCGUGUAGGCGGACUUGCAAGUCAGGCGUGAAAUCCCUGGGCUCAACCCAGGAAUUGCACUUGAAACUGCAAGCCUUGAGUGUCGGAGAGGAAAGUGGAAUUCCUGGUGUAGAGGUGAAAUUCGUAGAUAUCAGGAGGAACACCGGUGGCGAAGGCGG